AGAGGCAGCUGGGGAAUGUGACCAGGAGCCCAGUGAAGAAGAGCUCUGCGAACAGGAGCUUAGUGAGGAAGAGCCUAAUGACAAAGAAGAUGCCACAGUUCCUGGGACUGAAACACAGAUAUAACAUAUUGUAGUCAUUUUGCAUUUCUUUGCAAACAUUCAGGUACACUGAUGUUACCAAAAGCUUUUAGAAAAGCAGCAGCUGAUAUAUUAAUAUCAAUAAUAAUAAAUGUUAUUUGUAACACACUUUUAUUCAGGGAGUCUCAGAGUGCUACAGGAAAACACAUUUAAAAUCAUUAACAAUUAUAAGCUUUCUUAAAAAGGUUUUUCAGUUUAGCUUUAAAAGAGCUGCUGCAAAGCCUUAGCACAGCAGUGUAGUUGUAUUUCGCUAAGAGGAUGAACUAUAAAACUGAAAAUAGUUGUCUGCGUAAAUCAAACAUGAUGCUGAUGCAUGGUGAACUGACAACUUAAAAAAUGCUCUAUUCAUGUACUUUAAAAAACAAAAACAAAUAAGGAGCAAAUAAUACAAUAAAUCUAGGAUAUAAUUAUUUAGCUUCAUAGUAUAGUCCCUAAAAGCAAACACAUUAACUCAGAUGUGAGCGUUCAGAAUUUGCAGUGUUUCUCUUUAACAGCUCAGAAAUUAAAAUGUUGGGCUUUGGCACUUUUUAUAGAAAAAAAUGAAAAAAUAAAUUGAGAUUAUGAAGUAGUGGUUGCAGCUCUGCUUAUUUGUAUAUUGAGAGUGAUUAAACUGUGAUGUGUUUAGAUGUCUCAGAAAGGAGAGCUGUCCAAAGUCCUCGGGGUCAGAAAUCAUCACCAGGACAAAGACGAGACUGCCCAACAAGACAUCAGCCAGCCUCAAAAGGAAAAUCGGUUGUAAAGAGGAAAUGGACAGCGAAGGAAAUUGGGGCUGUUGAGAAGAAGCUGAUGAGGUUCAUUCGCUCUGGCCAGGUUCCAGGUAAAAGGGAAUGUGAGGAUUGUUUGAAUGCUGAUCCUGACACUCUCAGAGACAGAGACUGGAAAAGCGUCAAAUACUAUAUACACAACCGGAUCGUUGCAAGCAAGAGAGAGUUAACAUCACACAGCUGA
rnacentral:lncRNA from 1 species